rnacentral:rRNA from 1 species
CCUACGGGUGGCAGCAGUGAGGAAUAUUGGUCAAUGGGCGCGAGCCUGAACCAGCCAAGUAGCGUGAAGGAUGACUGCCCUACGGGUUGAAAACUUUUUUUAUAAAGGAAUAAAGUGAGGCACGUGGGCCUGUUUGUACGUAAUUUAUGAAUAAGGAUCGGGUAACGCCGUGACAGAAGCCGCGGUAAUACGGAGGAUCCGAGCGUUAUCCGGAUUUAUUGGGGUUAAAGGGAGCGUAGAUGGGUUGUUAAGUCAGUUGUGAAAGUUUGCGGCUCAACCGUAAAAUUGCAAUUGAUACUGGCGGCCUUGAGGACAGUUGAGGUAGGCGGAAUGCGUGGUGUAGCGGUGAAAUGCUUAGAUAUCACGAAGAACUCCGAUUGCGAAGGCAGCUUACUAAACUGCCACUGACAUUGAUGCUCGAAAGUGUGGGUAUCAAACAGGAUUAGAUACCCGAGUAGUC